rnacentral:rRNA from 1 species
UCCAGACUCCUACGGGAGGCAGCAGUGGGGGAUAUUGCACAAUGGGGGGAACCCUGAUGCAGCGACGCCGCGUGGGUGAGGAAGUACCCCGGUAUGUAAAGCCCUUUCGGCAGGGAAGAAAAUGACGGUACCUGGCGAAGAAGCCCCGGCUAACUACGUGCCAGCAGCCGCGGUAAUACGUAGGGGGCAAGCGUUAUCCGGAUUUACUGGGUGUAAAGGGAGCGUAGACGGUUAUGUAAGUCUGGAGUGAAAGCCCGGGGCCCAACCCCGGGACUGCUUUGGAAACUGUGUAACUAGAGUACAGGAGGGGCAGGCGGAAUUCCUGGUGUAGCGGUGAAAUGCGUAGAUAUCAGGAGGAACACCGGCGGCGAAGGCGGCCUGCUGGACUGAAACUGACGUUGAGGCUCGAAAGCGUGGGGAGCAAACAGGAUUAGAUACCCCCGUAUGC